AUCUUUGCGCAGAGGCGGUGACGUACCCAAUGAGGUUUAUCCGAGGGGCGUCUAUUGCUAGUUGAAAACUUUUACCAAUAACCCGCCGAGACGACGUGAAAUACCGUCGGCUAUGGCAAUUUUUGCAGGUCGAAAGACC